rnacentral:misc_RNA from 1 species
GAUGAAGAACGUAGCGAAAUGCGAUAAGUAAUGUGAAUUGCAGAAUUCAGUGAACCAUCGAAUCUUUGAACGCACAUUGCGCCCGGCAGUAAUCUGCCGGGCAUGCCUGUCCGAGCGUCAUUUCUACCCUCGAGCGACUCCAGCAUCUAGGUGCUGGGCCUCGCCCGGCGUUGGAGCACUACGGGAAGCCCUGUGCUGUCCCCCGUAGGCCCCGAAAUGAAGUGGCGGUCCUGCCGCGGCGCCCCCUGCGUAGUAUAACAGCUCGCUUCGGGACCCGGUGGAGGCCUGCCGUCAAACCUAUACUCUCUAAGUUUGACCUCGGAUCAGGUAGGGUUACCCGCUGAACUUAAGCAUAUCAAUAAGCGGAGGA